rnacentral:hammerhead_ribozyme from 1 species
CCACUGCUGAGAAGUCCUAGAAUAAGACGAAACGGCCGUUCAGUGC